rnacentral:rRNA from 2 species
GUGGGGAAUCUUGCGCAAUGGGCGAAAGCCUGACGCAGCCAUGCCGCGUGAAUGAUGAAGGUCUUAGGAUUGUAAAAUUCUUUCACCGGGGACGAUAAUGACGGUACCCGGAGAAGAAGCCCCGGCUAACUUCGUGCCAGCAGCCGCGGUAAUACGAAGGGGGCUAGCGUUGCUCGGAAUUACUGGGCGUAAAGGGAGCGUAGGCGGACUGUUUAGUCAGAGGUGAAAGCCCAGGGCUCAACCUUGGAAUUGCCUUUGAUACUGGCAGUCUUGAGUACGGAAGAGGUAUGUGGAACUCCGAGUGUAGAGGUGAAAUUCGUAGAUAUUCGGAAGAACACCAGUGGCGAAGGCGACAUACUGGUCCGUUACUGACGCUGAGGCUCGAAAGCGUGGGGAGCAAACAGG